GUAUAAAACGCCCAAGAGCCUCAAUUUCCCCAGCAGCAACCGCUCAAGAUGGUUCGCUCCGAGGUCUUUGUUUUCGUGUUGAUUUUAAUGAGCGUCGUUUGCGAGAUGAAGGGCCCCGUUUGUGCAUACCCAAGAGCCGAGAAAGGCGCAAUCGAUGGUGCUACGGCAGCUCCCUCAGAAUCCGUGUCCAAACGAAUUACACGCAAUAUACAGAAUACAAUUCUGCCAAAUUAUAUGAAUCCCUCCGGAGAAAGAAGGCAAAUCCGCAUAAAGAAAAGAGAUUUAGGAAGGAGAAGGUUUCAGCCCAUUCCUGUUCUCUGCGGUUAAGUUCGCUUUAUCAAUCGACUUUUGUUGAAGUUUUAUUACUUUUAUUGUGCUGCGGAAAUGUGGAAAUGUUUCAGUCCGUGGAGAUCGUAAUUAUUGAAUUAGAGAAACGACGGGAACACAAAGGAUUAUCUCGGGCAAAUUUUGUUAGAUGAAUAAUUAAACUGUUUGAAUAAUAAUUAAUUAUUAAAUUAAAGCUACAAUUGUUGGAUGAUUCUUGCUGCUAUUCAUUUUCAGACGGGGAACCGUUUUAACAAUUUAAAUUAAAACUUUGACGCUGAAGUUAAGUGCAAACUCAUUUUCUCUUGUAAAAUAUAAAAGUACUAGUACUUAAGGCAACUUCAAUAUUUAAUUAUUACGUUGCGGACGGGUUAGCCGAAGUCGUUUCAUACAAGACUUUGAGCGCUUAUAAAAUUUCCUAGAAUAUUAAAUUUACAAUUUUAAUAAACUCGUAAUAACUGAA